CUGCCUGAUGAUGAUCUGAUAUCAUGUCUCUUCUCUGAUUCUGUGCAGUGAAGAUCCUGAAUGAAAUCUGAUUGGGCAG